rnacentral:rRNA from 1 species
UAAUACAGAGGGAGCGAGCGUUAUUCGGAAUUAUUGGGCGUAAAGGGCGCGUAGGCGGCCUGGUGUGUCCACGGUGAAAUCCCUCGGCUCAACCGAGGAAGUGCCGUGGAAACUGCCGGGCUCGAGGCCGGGAGAGGGUGGUGGAAUUCCCAGUGUAGCGGUGAAAUGCGUAGAUAUUGGGAGGAACACCGGUGGCGAAGGCGGCCACCUGGACCGGUUCUGACGCUGAGGCGCGAAAGCGUGGGGAGCAAACAGGAUUAGAUACCCUGGUAGUCCACGCUGUAAACGAUGGGUGCUCGGUGUCGCGGGUAUCGACCCCUGCGGUGCCUUAGCUAACGCGUUAAGCACCCCGCCUGGGGAGUACGGUCGCAAGGCUG